GGAAGUAAAAGUCGUAACAAGGUCCCCGUUGGUGAACCAGCGGAGGGAUCAUUACUGAGUUACCGCUCAUCAACCCUUUGUGAACAUACCUUAACUGUUGCUUCGGCGGGUAGGCGUCCCCUAAAAAGGACGUCUCCCGGCCCUCUCCCGUCCGCGGGUGGGGCGCCCGCCGGAGGAUAACCAAACUCUGAUUUAACGACGUUUCUUCUGAGUGACACAAGCAAAUAAUCAAAACUUUUAACAACGGAUCUCUUGGUUCUGGCAUCGAUGAAGAACGCAGCGAAAUGCGAUAAGUAAUGUGAAUUGCAGAAUUCAGUGAAUCAUCGAAUCUUUGAACGCACAUUGCGCCCGCCAGCAUUCUGGCGGGCAUGCCUGUUCGAGCGUCAUUUCAACCCUCAAGCUCUGCUUGGUGUUGGGGCUCUACGGUUGACGUAGGCCCUUAAAGGUAGUGGCGGACCCUCUCGGAGCCUCCUUUGCGUAGUAACAUUUCGUCUCGCAUUGGGAUUCGGAGGGACUCUAGCCGUAAAACCCCCAAUUUUACUAAGGUUGACCUCGGAUCAGGUAGAAAUACCCGCUGAACUUAAGCAUAU
rnacentral:rRNA from 1 species